rfam:Salmo salar isolate Sally breed double haploid chromosome ssa28, whole genome shotgun sequence.
AAUCCGCCAAUUUGUAAGUCGCUCUGGAUAAGAGCGUCUGCUAAAUGACUUAAA